GAUCGUUAUGCAAAUGUCGUUACUGACUUUAAAAAUUUUAUUAAAAACGAAAACAGAUACAACGAUUUAACAGCCUUGACAAAUCCUAUAUAUUCUUUUAUAAAGCAAUGGAAAAAUGGAGGCUUUGCCAAAUCAAAUAAUUUACAACCAAAACAAUAUUGUAAUGCCUACGCGAUUCCAGGAAUGGAUUUGAAAUUAG